AACUGCUGACUACUGUUUACUACAAUAAGCAUAGCUGAUACUCUAUCCAGGAAGAGGAAGCCACCACUCAGUGCCCCAGCCAAGAUUGUUCUCAAGCUUUUGUCCGUCCCAAACCUUUAUGAAGCAUCCUCACCCACUGACAUGUGCAGUACUUAAGACGGUGCACCCUGGAGUCAAAUCCCAGCUUGGCCCCACAUGAGCUCUGAGGCCCUUGAGGAGACAGCGUUGCAAAGACCCCAGGGGCCGAGUAAGCAGAGGCCUUUCAGAGAUCAGAGAAAAGGCCACAUAGCUGGGAGCCUUUGUGAAACUGGAGAGGUCAUCGGGGCCAGAUCCUCAGGGGCCCAGUGGCCCUGGAAAGGAAUCUGGUCUUGUACCUAGAAAUGGUGGCAUUAAUUAUGUGACUUUGUCCAAGUCGCUGUCCUAUUCUGAGCUUCAGUUUUCUUGUCUGCAAAGGGCUCUGGACCAAACCAUCUAGGAUCCACCCUGACCCUGGGCCUUCAUGUCAGGUUAAGGAGAGACAGGGCCUCGUUCUGCGUUCAGGAUGAGUUUCUCCAGGGAAAGGCCUUCUAGCUCCGCCCUGCCCUGUCUGGCUCUGGGGACCACGCAGGACUCUCAAGACACUAGGUCACUACACUCAGGAGUUUCCCAUUUCUGCCAAGACAAUCUGGAGAAGACAUCACCCCACUUGAGUCAUGAGAUGUCCUCAACAGCACCUUCUAGAGUGCAGAUCUUUUUGCUGCUGUGAGAGAGGGGCUUAUGCAGAAUGAUAUUGUCAGUGUAGACAUGUUUCACACAGAGGAGAACUCAGGACAGGGGACAGGAAUGGAGGCAGGAACUCGAUCUAUUAGAACAAGUUUUCUGAUGUGGUUAUGCAUCAGGGAUGUAGAAUCCUGUGCCUUCAGGAUUUCUGGGAUUAAAGACAAUCCCAGAAAACAGGCCUGGACAGGUCCUGGAAUCAGCCCCAGGCCUAUUUGGAUAGGGGAUUCUGGGGUCCUCGUACCCAGAGCCUGGUCUAGACAGAAGGAGGGAGUGGGCUCUGGGUGGGCAAACCCACCUUGGCCCUUUCCCUUCCCUCAUCCUGUGGGGAGGGGCUCAGCUAGUGGAGGGUCAGAGAGGGUCUAAAGCAGGGGUUCCAUGGUAGGCACCCCUCUUGUCCAGACCCAAAGGUGGCUUGGAUCACCACCGAGGCACAGCUGAGUGAUAAGUUGAUGAGCAGCUGUGUUUUGCUGCCACAUAAAAAUGGCUCAUUCCCCACCCCCCGGCCCUGAAGUGACUAUUUACUGAGAGAGGCAACCCUACUGAACAAAAGCCUGCUAUUUAUUACACGUUCGGUGAACACCCCACAGUUCCAAUGCAUGGGGAGGGCUUGGAAACCAAAUCAACCUUGGGAAAAGGAGGUGCAGAGGCCAAGGUCAAAACCAAUUCAUGGAAGUGGGAAGAAAGCAGGGCUGGCCUCAACCUUUUCACUAUUAGAGAGAUGGCCAUGUAAAGUAGUGAGCCUCCUGUGGAAG
rnacentral:lncRNA from 10 species